rnacentral:rRNA from 1 species
UGGGUCCACCUCCCACCCGUGUUUAUUUUACCUUGUUGCUUCGGCGGGCCCGCCUUAACUGGCCGCCGGGGGGCUUACGCCCCCGGGCCCGCGCCCGCCGAAGACACCCUCGAACUCUGUCUGAAGAUUGAAGUCUGAGUGAAAAUAUAAAUUAUUUAAAACUUUCAACAACGGAUCUCUUGGUUCCGGCAUCGAUGAAGAACGCAGCGAAAUGCGAUACGUAAUGUGAAUUGCAAAUUCAGUGAAUCAUCGAGUCUUUGAACGCACAUUGCGCCCCCUGGUAUUCCGGGGGGCAUGCCUGUCCGAGCGUCAUUGCUGCCCUCAAGCCCGGCUUGUGUGUUGGGCCCCGUCCCCCGAUCUCCGGGGGACGGGCCCGAAAGGCAGCGGCGGCACCGCGUCCGGUCCUCGAGCGUAUGGGGCUUUGUCACCCGCUCUGUAGGCCCGGCCGGCGCUUGCCGAUCAACCCAAAUUUUUAUCCAGGUUGACCUCGGAUCAGGUAGGGAUACCCGCUGAACUUAA